ensembl:misc_RNA
UGUCAUUGAGCUGCAUCUGGAUACGGGAUAAUUCUGCUCUGGUGCUUCCCUCCUCUACCGUUCAUCUGUUGAGCUUUUUGCAGCCAAAGACUUUUACCCAAAAAUGAACCUGAAAAGGGAGGAAGACACCAGUCACUUC